CCUACGGGUGGCUGCAGUCGAGAAUCAUUCACCAUGGGGGAAACCCUGAUGGUGCGACGCCGCGUGGGGGAAUGAAGGUCUUCGGAUUGUAAACCCCUUUCAUGUGGGAGCAAAUUAAAAAGAUAGUACCACAAGAGGAAGAGACGGCUAACUCUGUGCCAGCAGCCGCGGUAAUACAGAGGGCUCAAGCGUUGUUCGGAAUCACUGGGCUUAAAGCGUGCGUAGGCUGUGUCGUAAGGCGUGUGUGAAAGACGCGGGUCCAACACGCGGACGGCAGAUGAUACUGCGAGACUAGAGUAAUGGAGGGGGAACCGGAAUUCUCGGUGUAGCAGUGAAAUGCGUAGAUAUCGAGAGGAAGACUCGUGGCGAAGGCGGGUUCCUGGACAUUAACUGACGCUGAGGCACGAAGGCCAGGGGAGCGAAAGGGAUUAGAUACCCUUGUAGUC
rnacentral:rRNA from 1 species